UGGUCUACAUAGUGAGAACCUGUCUCAAAAAAGGACCUCCCGAAAGAGUUAAAGUCAUCACAUACAGUGACCCAGGCACCCUACGUUCACGGCAGCCCAACACAUAGUAGCUAAACCUGGGAGACGGCCCACAAGUCCAUCGACAAAGGAACCGGCAUGCUGGUGCACACCUGAAACCUCC